rnacentral:rRNA from 1 species
UACGGGGGGAGCAAGCGUUGUUCGGAUUUACUGGGCGUAAAGGGCGCGUAGGCGGUCAGCACAAGUCAGUUGUGAAAUCUCCGGGCUUAACUCGGAAAGGUCAACUGAUACUGUGCGACUAGAGUGCAGAAGGGGCAACUGGAAUUCUCGGUGUAGCGGUGAAAUGCGUAGAUAUCGGGAGGAACACCAGAGGCGAAAGGCGGGCUACUGGGCCGAUACUGACGCUGAUGCGCGAAAGCCAGGGGAGCAAACGGG